rnacentral:tRNA from 1 species
UCCACUACUCAGUUGCCAGAGUACAAAGCUCAUAACCUUAUGGACGUGGGUUCAAGCCCCAUGGUGGAG